rnacentral:rRNA from 1 species
AUUGAACGCUGGCGGCAGGCCUAACACAUGCAAGUCGAACGAGUGGCGGACGGGUGAGUAAUGUCUGGGAAACUGCCCGAUGGAGGGGGAUAACUACUGGAAACGGUAGCUAAUACCGCAUACCAUCGGAUGUGCCCAGAUGGGAUUAGCUAGUAGGUGGGGUAACGUCUCACCUAGGCGACGAUCCCUAGCUGGUCGGAGAGGAUGACCAUCCAAACUGGAACUGAGACACGGUCCAGCCUCCUACGAGGGUCAGCAGGGGGGAAGAUUGCAAAAGGGGCGUAAGCCUGAUGCAGACAUGCCGCGUGUAUGAAGAGGGCCUGCGGGUUGUAAAGUACGUUCAGCGAGGAGGCGUUACUCGCAGAAGAAGCACCGGCUAACUCCGUGCCAGCAGCCGCGGUAAUUC